AGCGAACGCUGGCGGCAGGCCUAACACAUGCAAGUCGAACGAACUCUUCGGAGUUAGUGGCGGACGGGUGAGUAACACGUGGGAACGUGCCUUUUGUUCGGAAUAACUCAGGGAAACUUGUGCUAAUACCGAAUGUGCCCUUCGGGGGAAAGAUUUAUCGCCAUUAGAGCGGCCCGCGUCUGAUUAGCUAGUUGGUGAGGUAACGGCUCACCAAGGCGACGAUCAGUAGCUGGUCUGAGAGGAUGACCAGCCACACUGGGACUGAGACACGGCCCAGACUCCUACGGGAGGCAGCAGUGGGGAAUCUUGCGCAAUGGGCGAAAGCCUGACGCAGCCAUGCCGCGUGAAUGAUGAAGGUCUUAGGAUUGUAAAAUUCUUUCACCGGGGACGAUAAUGACGGUACCCGGAGAAGAAGCCCCGGCUAACUUCGUG
rnacentral:rRNA from 1 species